rnacentral:rRNA from 1 species
AUACGUAGGGGGCGAGCGUUGUCCGGAAUUACUGGGCGUAAAGCGCGCGUAGGCGGUUUGUUAAGCGAGAUGUGAAAGCCCCGGGCUUAACCUGGGAAUUGCAUUCGAAACUGCCAAGCUAGAGUAUGUUAGAGGAAAGUGGAAUUCCCGGUGUAGCGGUGAAAUGCGUAGAUAUCGGGAGGAACAUCAGUGGCGAAGGCGACUUACUGGGCAGUGCCUGACGCUGAGGUGCGAGAGCGUGGGGAGCAAACUGGAUUAGAAACCCCAGUAGUCC